rnacentral:rRNA from 1 species
AACAGGAUUAGAUACCCUGGUAGUCCACGCCCUAAACGAUGUCAACUGGUUGUUGGGUCUUCACUGACUCAGUAACGAAGCUAACGCGUGAAGUUGACCGCCUGGGGAGUACGGCCGCAAGGUUAAAACUCAAAGGAAUUGACGGGGACCCGCACAAGCGGUGGAUGAUGUGGUUUAAUUCGAUGCAACGCGAAAAACCUUACCCACCUUUGACAUGUACGGAAGAUCGCAGAGACGCGAUUGUGCUCGAAAGAGAACCGUAACACAGGUGCUGCAUGGCUGUCGUCAGCUCGUGUCGUGAGAUGUUGGGUUAAGUCCCGCAACGAGCGCAACCCUUGCCAUUAGUUGCUACGAAAGGGCACUCUAAUGGGACUGCCGGUGACAAACCGGAGGAAGGUGGGGAUGACGUCAAGUCCUCAUGGCCCUUAUAGGUGGGGCUACACACGUCAUACAAUGGCUGGUACAAAGGGUUGCCAACCCGCGAGGGGGAGCUAAUCCCAUAAAGCCAGUCGUAGUCCGGAUCGUAGUCUGCAACUCGACUACGUGAAGUCGGAAUCGCUAGUAAUCGUGGAUCAGAAUGUCACGGUGAAUACGUUCCCGGGUCUUGUACACACCGCCCGUCACACCAUGGGAGCGGGUUCUGCCAGAAGUAGUUAGCCUAACCGCAAGGAGGGCGAUUACCACGGCAGGGUUCGUGACUGGGGUGAAGUCGUAACAAAGGUAGC